rnacentral:rRNA from 1 species
UUACGCCUACGGGGGGCAGCAGUGGGGAAUAUUGCACAAUGGGGGAAACCUUGAUGCAGCGACGCCGCGUGAGUGAGGAAGUAUCUCGGUAUGUAAAUCUCUAUCAGCAGGGAAGAAAAUGACGGUACCUGACCAAGAAGCCCCGGCUAACUACGUGCCAGCAGCCGCGGUAAUACGUAGGGGGCAAGCGUUAUCCGGAUUUACUGGGUGUAAAGGGAGCGUAGGCGGCUGUGUAAGCCAGAAGUGAAAGCCCGAGGCUCAACCACGGGACUGCUUUUGGAACUACAUGGCUUGAUUGCAGGAGG